GGGCGGCGUGCCUAACACAUGCAAGUCGAGCGGGGACAUAGGACAGCGGAUGAAGAUUUCGGUUGGAGUCCAAAGGCUUAUGUUCUAGCGGCGGACGGGUGAGUAACGCGUGAGCAACCUGUCCCUUACGAGGGGAUAACACAGCGAAAGUUGUACUAAUACCGCAUAAGACCACGACGGGGCAUCCCGGAGGGGUCAAAGGAGAAAUCCGGUAAGGGGUGGGCUCGCGUCCGAUUAGAUAGUUGGUGAGGUAACGGCCCACCAAGUCGACGAUCGGUAGCCGACCUGAGAGGGUGAUCGGCCACAUUGGGACUGAGACACGGCCCAAACUCC
rnacentral:rRNA from 1 species